GGGAGAGACUGACACCUAAGUGCUGUGUGGAUGUUUUUCAAGAGUAGAGGAGGGCAAGGUGGGAAGCAACUAAUUUUGCAGGUGGUUGUCAGAGAAGGCUUUCCAGAGACAACACCAAGGGCCCUUCAAAACACAGAAGCUUCUUGCUCACGGCAGAAAGCCCAAUUCCAUCUGGCCCCUGCAGGUUGGCUCAGCACUGGGGAAUCAGAGUCCCCUCCAUGACCAAGGCACCACUCCACUGACAGGGUCACAUCUCCCAGGAAGAUCUCACUUCCCCACAGAAGCUCUUGGCCUGGCCUCCUGCAGUGCCACGCUCCGUGUAUUUGACAAGCUGAGUUGGACACUCCAUGUGGUAGAGUGUCAGUUUGUCAAAUACCCCAAGUGCGGCACAUGCUUACCAGCUCUAGGCCAGGGCAGAUGGGAUAUGACGAAUGGACUGCCAGCUGGAUACAAGGAUGCUCACCAAGCACCAAGUUCUCACAAGUUAUUUUAUGUGACUUUGCAGGAACUGAGGCAUUAUAUCUGAGGACACCAGGGGAAAAGUGUGGCAUCUCAGGGAAAUACAGCCCUGGGCUGUGUCUACACACACCAUGAGAGUGCUGAUGGGGGCGCAAUAGUCUUGAAAAUGUAUAAAGUGUCCAGGAAUGGAAGUGCUCUUUGAUUCAUUAUUAUUUUCUUCCUUCAUAUUCCCCUCCCAGAGUCUCCUAUCUAGGACAUCAGCAUUCUCACACAAGCCUAAUGGCUUAUCUGAGUAAGCAGGGCUUAGAAAUUCACUUUCUUGAUACUCAGUCUUGCCUUCUAAACACUCCUUGAUCUUGCCUACCUCUCCCCUUUUCCACAUGUCUUUUCCUGUAGGAACACUUUCUCCAUUUAUUCCUGCCUAUCCAAUUCUUCCCUAUAUUUCCUGGACCAGCUAAAGUCCAGUGUUUCCAGAGACUUUUGAAAGUCAACUUACACUUUUUCCUUCUUCAUUCACAAAGCUCUUCUUCCCUGGGCCCUGGUAUGUAUGCCUUUCUCUCCUACUGUCUAAUAGCACCUCGUAAAUUGUCAAUGAACUUUUCUAAGGGGUAUUCUUGAAUUCCCAACUAGAUUGUGAGCUUCUGGAAGACAAGGCUAUGUCUUUGAUUGUUGUCUCCCCUACCACAGCCCAGUACUUUAGUUACAGAAAAUAAUAAAUAUUUACUGAUUGAUUGACUUUCCUCUUGUCCACUAGCUUUAGGUUUGGGGGCCAAAUUCUACCCUGGAUUUUGAAAAAUUCAAACUGUGAACACCACAAUGUUAUAGAGCAUAUGAGGUAGUAGCCAGCAUGAAGGAUGUUUUCUUCCUGAGAAACAGUGUCAAGGGCUGGAGGAAGAGGGCAAAAUAGCAGACUCAGAGGGCAAAUAAAUUUUGGUAUUACUUGGUCACACAAGGUUAUACAGGUGUUUUCUUGUAGGAUUUUUCAGAGCCUUUAAUAGUCUAAUGUUGCAUUGAGAAUCUCAAAGAGGAAACCAUAGAAUGAGGCAUUUGCCAUACCUAUCUGAUCAUGAAUUUUCUUUUCCCCCACAGCCUUCUCCUGUGUCAAUGUCCAAUGAAGCACGAUUUGGGAAACUGUCCUAGAGAAACUUUAUACCUUCCCGCUCUUCUGGAGAUCUUUUCCUCUUUUCAUUCAUCUACUUUCCCCAACCAGCCAUCUGCCUAAGAAAGGUCACAUGUUAUCAUCUCAUUUUUGUUUAGCCUCUGCAGCUGUGGACUAUCUUUAUUACAUAGGAAUUCUUUACUAGCUUGUCCUGUAUUUAAAAAUAUUCUAAGUUUUGAGGCAAAGAAGAUCCAGAUGCUGCAAUAAAUAUAUGCACUGAGGAGUUCA
rnacentral:lncRNA from 1 species